rnacentral:rRNA from 1 species
ACGGAGGAUGCGAGCGUUAUCCGGAUUUAUUGGGUUUAAAGGGUGCGUAGGUGGACUGUUUAGUCAGUGGUGAAAUGCUGAUGCUCAACGUUAGCAUUGCCGUUGAAACUGACAGUCUUGAGAGUGAUUGAGGCAGGCGGAAUGUGUGGUGUAGCGGAAAAAUGCAUAGAUAUCACACAGAACCCCAAUGGCGAAGGCAGCUUACAAAGCCACAACUGACACUGAAGCACGAAAGCGUGGGGAUCAAACAG